CCUCCCCGCUGCCCUCUCCCUCCCUCCCUGCCGGCCGCCCUCUCUCUCCCUCUCCGCUCUCUGCCUCCCCGACGCCGCCUCACCUCCCCUCCCCUUCUCCCUCUACGCUUGCCUCCGUCGCCGCUGCUCCUGCUCUCCGCCGCCGCCGCCCGCUCCCGCGGGAUCCGGAUCCGGCGUGGGGCGCGGCUCGGAGGGAGGGGGCGCGUGCCGGCCGGCCAUGGCGCGGCUGCUCCAGCGCAUGGAGCAGAGAGGCGGCCGCCAUGUGCCCAGGCCGGCCCCUGGGCUGCGGGCCGUGUCCCCAUCACCUGCGACGCGGAGGAGGCGAGGUCGACGGUGAGGCGGCGGCGUGGGCGCGGGAGAGCGUGCCGAUCGAGCUUCUCGACGUGCUGCGGGAGGCCAAGCGCGCCUCCUCCUGGAGGGCGGCGCCGGCGCCGAUGGCGAUGCGCGAGCGGCCACCCCUGCUCCAUGCCGCGUCACGCGAGCAGCUCGCCGGAGCGGCACCCCCGCGCUCCGGCCGCUCCUUGCGUCCAGCCCCAAGUCGCUCCUUGCCCCUGGAGUCCUCGCUGGAGCUCCAAAUCGCCGUGACAUUCUAUGCUUCGCCAACUCUUUAUAGCUUGAAUGUUGAGCAGUGUUCUAUCACAUCACGAACUGUUCAGAAGAUGACAGAUGCACUGCAUUAAGGGUCGGUCCUUUCACAUCUCUCAUUAGGGAUGUGAUGCUAUUCAGGCAAUGCUUGUGAAUCCCCCAUGCAGUAUUAGAUCUCUCACACUGGACAGAUGCAACCUUGGACUUGCUGGAAUUGUUUGUAUUAUUCAUGCACUAUCAGGAAAUGACCAACUGGAGGAGCCGCGCUUGGCUGAGAACACAAACUGGCACUAGAGAGAAUAAUUCAGUAGGAAGACAUGCAGGAAGUAUCAACAACCAAUGAGCAAAAACAAUGUAACAACCCUGAAACAAGCAAUGCUAUAGCCCGAGGGAAUACCGUGCAUACAGAUUGUCACCUGAAGGGAUACCGUGCAUGUAGUUUGUCGUUUUUUAUUGCCUCAUGGUUACUUGCGGUUCAAACAGUAGGGCGCGCAUAUGCCUACAGUGGGAAGAAACUCAUAUUGGUGUAUUUCUAUUUGUACAUAUGCCAUUGAAUACUGGAUAUCAGCAUUAUAUACUCAGAAAUUUCUGCUUCAAAGUAUCAUGGCAUACAUGUUGAUUAUAUUGAUGAGCUACAACAUGAUUUUAUUUCUCCUGCUUGUAGUUCCAUGAAACCAGUAAACUGUGUUUACAGUUUAAUACUAAAUCCACUUUCACU